rnacentral:rRNA from 1 species
GAUGAACGCUGGCGGCGUGCCUAAUACAUGCAAGUCGAGCGAACAGACGAGGAGCUUGCUCCUCUGACGUUAGCGGCGGACGGGUGAGUAACACGUGGAUAACCUACCUAUAAGACUGGGAUAACUUCGGGAAACCGGAGCUAAUACCGGAUAAUAUAUUGAACCGCAUGGUUCAAUAGUGAAAGACGGUUUUGCUGUCACUUAUAGAUGGAUCCGCGCCGCAUUAGCUAGUUGGUAAGGUAACGGCUUACCAAGGCAACGAUGCGUAGCCGACCUGAGCGGGUGAUCGGCCACACUGGAACUGAGACACGGUCCAGACUCCUACGGGAGGCAGCAGUAGGGAAUCUUCCGCAAUGGGCGAAAGCCUGACGGAGCAACGCCGCGUGAGUGAUGAAGGUCUUCGGAUCGUAAAACUCUGUUAUUAGGGAAGAACAAAUGUGUAAGUAACUAUGCACGUCUUGACGGUACUGAAUCAGAAAGCCACGGCUAACUACGUG